rnacentral:rRNA from 1 species
AGCUCGUGUCGUGAGAUGUUCGGUUAAGUCCGCUAACGAGCGCAACCCUCGUCGUAUGUUAUAUGUGUCAUACGAGACUGCCGGUAAAGCCGGAGGAACGGUGAGGAGUGAUGUCAAGUCAGCAUGACCUUUAUAUCCAGGGCUACACACACGCUACAAUGGUCUGUACAAUGGGUAGCCAAGCCGCGAGGCGGAGCCGAAUCCUGAAAGCAAGGCCUCAGUUCAGAUUGCAGUCUGCAACUCGACUGCAUGAAGCCGGAGUUGCUAGUAACCGCAGGUCAGCAAUACUGCGGUGAAUACGUUCCCGGGUCUU